rnacentral:rRNA from 1 species
UAAGGAAUAUUGGUCAAUGGGCGAAAGCCUGAACCAGCCAUGCCGCGUGGAGGAUGAAGGUCCUCUGGAUUGUAAACUUCUUUUAUUUGGGACGAAAAAAGGGAAUUCUUUCUCACUUGACGGUACCAGAUGAAUAAGCACCGGCUAACUCCGUGCCAGCAGCCGCGGUAAUACGGAGGGUGCAAGCGUUAUCCGGAUUCACUGGGUUUAAAGGGUGCGUAGGCGGGCAGGUAAGUCAGUGGUGAAAUCUUUGGGCUUAACCCGAAAACUGCCAUUGAUACUAUCUGUCUUGAAUAUUGUGGAGGUUUGCGGAAUAUGUCAUGUAGCGGUGAAAUGCUUAGAGAUGACAUAGAACACCUAUUGCGAAGGCAGCAAACUACGCAUAUAUUGACGCUGAGGCACGAAAGCGUGGGGAUCAAACAGGAUUAGAUACCCCCGUAGUCC